rnacentral:rRNA from 1 species
AACGAACGCUGGCGGCAUGCCUAACACAUGCAAGUCGAACGAAGCCUUCGGGCUUAGUGGCGCACGGGUGCGUAACGCGUGGGAAUCUGCCCUUGGGUUCGGAAUAACAGUUAGAAAUGACUGCUAAUACCGGAUGAUGUCUUCGGACCAAAGAUUUAUCGCCCAAGGAUGAGCCCGCGUAGGAUUAGGUAGUUGGUGGGGUAAUGGCCCACCAAGCCGACGAUCCUUAGCUGGUCCGAGAGGAUGAUCAGCCACACUGGGACUGAGACACGGCCCAGACUCCUACGGGAGGCAGCAGUGGGGAAUAUUGGACAAUGGGCGAAAGCCUGAUCCAGCAAUGCCGCGUGAGUGAUGAAGGCCUUAGUGUUGUAAAGCUCUUUUACCAGGGAUGAUAAUGACAGUACCUGGAGAAUAAGCUCCGGCUGACUCCGUGCCAGCCGCCGCCGUAAUAC